AACGAACGCUGGCAGCAUGCCUAACACAUGCAAGUCGAACGAACCCUUCGGGGUUAGUGGCGCACGGGUGCGUAACGCGUGGGAAUCUGCCCUUUGGUUCGGAAUAACAGUUAGAAAUGACUGUUAAUACCGGAUGAUGACUGCGGUCCAAAGAUUUAUCGCCAGAGGAUGAGCCCGCGUAGGAGUAGGUAGUUGGUGGGGUAAAGGCCUACCAAGCCGACGAUCCUUAGCUGGUCUGAGAGGAUGAUCAGCCACACUGGGACUGAGACACGGCCCAGACUCCUACGGGAGGCAGCAGUGGGGAAUAUUGGACAAUGGGCGCAAGCCUGAUCCAGCAAUGCCGCGUGAGUGAUGAAGGCCUUCGGGUCGUAAAGCUCUUUUACCCGGGAUGAUAAUGACAGUACCGGGAGAAUAAGCUCCGGCUAACUCCGUGCCAGCAGCCGCGGUAA
rnacentral:rRNA from 1 species